rnacentral:rRNA from 1 species
AUGCAAGGAAAAAGUGGAAGCAGAUUUGGAUGUGGUUCGAAGAAGAUGCAGGAGAUAGAAGAAAAAAAAGCUAGACAAAAAGCACUCAAAGCACAGGAUGAAAAAAAGGAUUCUGGAUAUGGAGGAGAAAAAGCAUAUAUGAUGGAAUUGGUACAUAAACAGCAAACCAUGAUUGCUAGAUGUGUGGAGAAAAUUGAAAGGUGGGAAGAACGGGAGAGAGAGAGAUGGAGGAGAUCACUGACAAGGAACUUAAAAAUAUGGAAGAGGAAAAUAAAAUUGAUGAAACAACACAUAUGUGGAGCCUGUGAACUAUGGUGCUAG